GAUCCAGCGUUUCCAUUGGCUACUCUACCGGGUGAUGUAAUUUUUUUUACUCAAUAGGGAGGGAGCGAUGGUUAUUUCUUAAAGGUGUAUUUCUCAGAGCUGCUAGGCUAGUUAGCAUCUAUCUUUAAUUUUAUCAGUGUACGGAUUACAGUUAAGUCAACGUAACACAAAUUACCAUUGAAGACCUGCCAGGAUGAUGUGACUGGCAGUGACUUACACUGUUUGAUAGACUGAUUGAUUGAUUGAUUGAUUGAUUGAUUAGCCGAUUGAAAAAUACGUUUUAAAACAGACGUAUAGAUUUUAAUCAUCGUCACUAUCAUCAGUGUGACCAGGACAAAAGGAGGCAAAACAGAAUCACAUGGGUCAUGUUUAUCCUCAUAGGGUGAACAUGACUCAGUUUCUAUUCAAGCUAAACAUUGAUCUCAUUAGCUGGACCGGCAGAGAGCAUCCAGUAUUUAAAAUCGGGGUUACCGUGUGAUGCAGCCAACAGUACAAGCCUACUGUGAGGUUUUUUUGUUGUUGUUUGUUUUAAGUCAAACCACAGCUUUGAUAAUAUCACCCAUAUCCUUGGACUACGUCCUUCAGAUUAAAUUCAAUUCAAUUCAA